rnacentral:SRP_RNA from 1 species
GCCCACCGGGGCAAGGCAUGCCUGUAGACUCAGCUACUCGGGAGGCUGAAGCGGGAAGGUCGCUUGAGUCCAGGAGUUUGGGGAUGUCUUGUGCUAUGCUGAUUGGUGUCUGUACUAAGUUUGGCAUCACUAUGGUGAUCUCCCAGGAUCAGGAGACCACGAGGUUGACUAAGGAGGGAUGAACUGGCUCAGAUUGGAAACAGAGUAGGCCAAAACUCCCAUGCUAAUCAGUAGUGGGAUUGCACCUAUAAUUAGCCACUGUGCUUCAGCCUGAGCCACAUAGUGAAACCCCCAUCU